rnacentral:rRNA from 1 species
AACGAACGCUGGCGGCAUGCCUAACACAUGCAAGUCGAACGAGACCUUCGGGUCUAGUGGCGCACGGGUGCGUAACACGUGGGAAUCUGCCCUUUGCUUCGGAAUAACAGUUAGAAAUGACUGCUAAUACCGGAUGAUGUCGAAAGACCAAAGAUUUAUCGGCAAAGGAUGAGCCCGCGUAGGAUUAGGUAGUUGGUGGGGUAAAGGCCUACCAAGCCGACGAUCCUUAGCUGGUCUGAGAGGAUGAUCAGCCACACUGGGACUGAGACACGGCCCAGACCCCUGGGGAGGGCAGAAGGGGGGAUUAUGGAACAAGGGCCAAAGGCCUAAACAACCAAUGCCGGGGGAGUUAUAAGGGCUUUAGGUUUAAAAAGCUCUUUUACCAGGCAUGAUAAUGACAAACCCGGGAGAAGAGGCCCGGGCAACCCCCGU